rnacentral:rRNA from 1 species
AUUCCAGCUCCAAUAGCGUAUAUUAAAGUUGUUGCAGUUAAAAAGCUCGUAGUUGGAUUUCUUGGGCAGCAAGCGGGUCGGCUCAACGAGUCUGCACUAGCUCCGCUGUCCAAUCCUCGUAACAAGCUGUCGGUGAGUUAAUUCCAUUCGGCAGUGAGUUGCGUCAUUUACUGUGAACAAAUUAGAGUGUUUAAAGCAGGCAAAUGCUGUGAAUACAUUAGCAUGGAAUAAUAAGAUAGGACCUAGAGUCUAUUUUGUUGGUUGCGAUUUUAGGUAAUGAUUAAUAGGGAUAGUUGGGGGUAUUCAUAUUCAAUCGUCAGAGGUGAAAUUCUUGGAUUUAUGGAAGAUGAACAACUGCGAAAGCAUUUACCAAGGAUGUUUUCAUCA